UGGGGAAUCUUGCGCAAUGGGCGAAAGCCUGACGCAGCCAUGCCGCGUGAAUGAUGAAGGUCUUAGGAUUGUAAAAUUCUUUUCACCGGGGACGAUAAUGACGGUACCCGGAGAAGAAGCCCCGGCUAACUUCGUGCCAGCAGCCGCGGUAAUACGAAGGGGGCUAGCGUUGCUCGGAAUUACUGGGCGUAAAGGGCGCGUAGGCGGACAUUUAAGUCAGGGGUGAAAUCCCAGAGCUCAACUCUGGAACUGCCUUUGAUACUGGGUGUCUUGAGUGUGAGAGAGGUAUGUGGAACUCCGAGUGUAGAGGUGAAAUUCGUAGAUAUUCGGAAGAACACCAGUGGCGAAGGCGACAUACUGGCUCAUUACUGACGCUGAGGCGCGAAAGCGUGGGGAGCAAACAGGAUUAGAUACCCCUGUAGUCCCUGAGCGGGCUGGCAAGGCGCAU
rnacentral:rRNA from 1 species